GAUGAACGCUGGCGGCGUGCCUAAUACAUGCGAGUCGAGCGAACAGACGAGGAGCUUGCUCCUCUGACGUUAGCGGCGGACGGGUGAGUAACACGUGGAUAACCUACCUAUAAGACUGGGAUAACUUCGGGAAACCGGAGCUAAUACCGGAUAAUAUAUUGAACCGCAUGGUUCAAUAGUGAAAGACGGUUUUGCUGUCACUUAUAGAUGGAUCCGCGCCGCAUUAGCUAGUUGGUAAGGUAACGGCUUACCAGGGCGACGAUGCGUAGCCGACCUGAGAGGGUGAUCGGCCACACUGGAACUGAGACACGGUCCAGACUCCUACGGGAGGCAGCAGUAGGGAAUCUUCCGCAAUGGGCGAAAGCCUGACGGAGCAACGCCGCGUGAGUGAUGAAGGUCUUCGGAUCGUAAAACUCUGUUAUUAGGGAAGAACAAAUGUGUAAGUAACUAUGCACGUCUUGACGGUACCUAAUCAGAAAGCCACGGCUAACUACGUG
rnacentral:rRNA from 1 species